ACCUGGGUGGCUCAGUCAGUUAAGCAUCUGACUUCGGCUCAGGUCACGAUGUCACAGUUUGUGAGUUCAAGUCCCAUUUCGGGCU
rnacentral:tRNA from 1 species